rnacentral:snRNA from 1 species
GAAGCGACGCAUGCGCCCGCCGC